GCAGUCGAGCGGACCGACGGGAGCUUGCUCCCUUAGGUCAGCGGCGGACGGGUGAGUAACACGUGGGUAACCUGCCUGUAAGACUGGGAUAACUCCGGGAAACCGGGGCUAAUACCGGAUGCUUGAUUGAACCGCAUGGUUCAAUCAUAAAAGGUGGCUUUUAGCUACCACUUACAGAUGGACCCGCGGCGCAUUAGCUAGUUGGUGAGGUAACGGCUCACCAAGGCGACGAUGCGUAGCCGACCUGAGAGGGUGAUCGGCCACACUGGGACUGAGACACGGCCCAGACUCCUACGGGAGGCAGCAGUAGGGAAUCUUCCGCAAUGGACGAAAGUCUGACGGAGCAACGCCGCGUGAGUGAUGAAGGUUUUCGGAUCGUAAAACUCUGUUGUUAGGGAAGAACAAGUACCGUUCGAAUAGGGCGGCACCUUGACGGUACCUAACCAGAAAGCCACGGCUAACUACGUGCCAGCAGCCGCGGUAAUACGUAGGUGGCAAGCGUUGUCCGGAAUUAUUGGGCGUAAAGCGCGCGCAGGCGGUUUCUUAAGUCUGAUGUGAAAGCCCCCGGCUCAACCGGGGAGGGUCAUUGGAAACUGGGGAACUUGAGUGCAGAAGAGGAGAGUGGAAUUCCACGUGUAGCGGUGAAAUGCGUAGAGAUGUGGAGGAACACCAGUGGCGAAGGCGACUCUCUGGUCUGUAACUGACGCUGAGGCGCGAAAGCGUGGGGAGCGAACAGGAUUAGAUACCCUGGUAGUCCACGCCGUAAACGAUGAGUGCUAAGUGUUAGAGGGUUUCCGCCCUUUAGUGCUGCAGCAAACGCAUUAAGCACUCCGCCUGGGGAGUACGGUCGCAAGACUGAAACUCAAAGGAAUUGACGGGGGCCCGCACAAGCGGUGGAGCAUGUGGUUUAAUUCGAAGCAACGCGAGAACCUUAYCAGUCUUGACAUCCUCUGACAACCCUAGAGAUAGGCUUCCCUUUCGGGGCAGAGUG
rnacentral:rRNA from 1 species